rnacentral:rRNA from 1 species
GAUGAACGCUGGCGGCGUGCCUAAUACAUGCAAGUCGAGCGAAUGGAUUAAGAGCUUGCUCUUAUGAAGUUAGCGGCGGACGGGUGAGUAACACGUGGGUAACCUGCCCAUAAGACUGGGAUGACUCCGGGAAACCGGGGCUAAUACCGGGUAAUAUUUUGAACUGCAUGGUUCAAAAUUGAAAGGCGGCUUCGGCUGUCACUUAUGGAUGGACCCGCGUCGCAUUAGCUAGUUGGUGAGGUAACGGCUCACCAAGGCAACGAUGCGUAGCCGACCUAAGAGGAUGAUCAGCCACAAGGGAACUGAAACACGGUCCAGACUCAUACGGGGGGCAGCAGUGGGGAAUAUUGCGCAAUGGACGAAAGUCUGACGCAGCAACGCCGCGUGAGUGAAGAAGGCCUUCGGGUUGUAAAGCUCUGUCGGGCGGGACGAACAAGCUUAGGGUUAACAGCCCUAGGACCUGACGGUACCGCCAAAGGAAGCACCGGCUAACUCUGUGCCAGCCGCCGCAGUAA